UACGUAAGCGCUUUGCUGAUGUGGCAACAAAUCGCGUCCACGAGGAGGCGAUUUGUUGCCACGUCAGCAAAGCGUGUUGACGUGG
rfam:Gossypium raimondii Chr08_contig_471, whole genome shotgun sequence.